ACGGGAGGCAGCAGUGGGGAAUAUUGGGCAAUGGGCGAAAGCCUGACCCAGCAAUGCCGCGUGAAGGAAGAAGGUCUUCGGAUUGUAAACUUCUUUUAUGAGGGACGAAGGAAUUGACGGUACCUCAUGAAUAAGCCACGGCUAACUACGUGCCAGCAGCCGCGGUAAUACGUAGGUGGCAAGCGUUAUCCGGAUUUACUGGGUGUAAAGGGCGCGUAGGCGGGGAAGCAAGUCAGAUGUGAAAUCUAUGGGCUUAACUCAUAAACUGCAUUUGAAACUGUUUCUCUUGAGUGCCGGAGAGGUAGAUGGAAUUCCUAGUGUAGCGGUGAAAUGCGUAGAUAUUAGGAAGAACACCAGUGGCGAAGGCGAUCUACUGGACAGUAACUGACGCUGAGGCGCGAAAGCGUGGGGAGCAAACAGGAUUAGAUACCCUGGUA
rnacentral:rRNA from 1 species